rnacentral:rRNA from 1 species
GAUGAACGCUGGCGGCGUGCCUAAUACAUGCAAGUCGAGCGAACAGACGAGGAGCUUGCUCCUCUGACGUUAGCGGCGGACGGGUGAGUAACACGUGGAUAACCUACCUAUAAGACUGGGAUAACUUCGGGAAACCGGAGCUAAUACCGGAUAAUAUAUUGAACCGCAUGGUUCAAUAGUGAAAGACGGUUUUGCUGUCACUUAUAGAUGGAUCCGCGCCGCAUUAGCUAGUUGGUAAGGUAACGGCUUACCAAGGCAACGAUGCGUAGCCGACCUGAGAGGGUGAUAGGCCACACUGGAACUGAGACACGGUCCAGACUACUACGGGAGGCAGCAGUAGGGAAUCUUACGCAAUGGGCGAAAGCCUGACGGAGCAACGCCGCGUGAGUGAUGAAGGUCUUCGGAUCGUAAAACUCUGUUAUUAGGGAAGAACAAAUGUGUAAGUAACUAUGCACGUCUUGACGGUACCUAAUCAGAAAGCCACGGCUAACUACGUG